UACGUAGGGUGCUAGCGUUGUCCGGAAUUACUGGGCGUAAAGAGUGUGUAGGCGGUGCUCUAAGUUCGGUGUGAAAUCUCCCGGCUUAACUGGGAGGGUGCGCCGGAAACUGGAGUGCUCGAGCGUGGGAGAGGAAAGCGGAAUUCCUGGUGUAGCGGUGAAAUGCGUAGAUAUCAGGAGGAACACCUGCGGUGUAGACGGCUUUCUGGACCAUAACUGACGCUGAGGCACGAAAGCGUGGGUAGCAAACAGG
rnacentral:rRNA from 1 species